CCAAGAUAUUGGACAUUGUCCCUCUUGGCGAUGGCCUGAGAACCAAUCAUCACAUCCCUGCCUACCUCACUCGGCUCGGCGCCAAACUUGCACUCCAGGUAUUCUGUCUUAGAACUGCUUAUUUUGAAACCUUUAGACUCGAGAGUCUGUCUCUAUACCUCUAACCUUUCACUAACACCGACCCUCGUCUCGUCUAUCAAUACUAUAU
rnacentral:lncRNA from 1 species